ACUACAAACACGGCCCCAAAGUCUAAUCUAACAGUCAGAACUAACAUUUUAAAAUGAAUUCUCAAAUGUGCCCGAAGCCGGUGGAGUGCCACUAAAACCUACUUCUCUACUGUACUCACAGUAAGUACUGAAAUCUGUAUCUAUUAUUUUUUUCUCCUACUUCCACUUUUACUUCUCCACUUAUUUUUGAUGAGUUUACAACUUUUACUACGACACAUUUCUCAUGUGCUGCAUCGUUUCUCCUUAUAAUUGACCUUUAUCGAAACCCCGCCCCCAAACGGUCAUUGUCCAACCGUACGUCCUAGCAACCGUUACUAUGGAAACAAGCUGCCGACCUCCAACAAGCUAAAUUGGGAAGCGGUGUGAUGGGACCCUAGUUACCACAAGAGUUUGUCUGGGGGGGUCAUGUUAUUUACCAACAGGAGCCGAGCCUGAAGUGGGUCAAACACCGAAGAACCCACUCCAGCUAAAUCUACGAGAAUAAACAAGCUACAUACGUCUGCUCCAAGGUUUUUUUCUUGCUGCUGCUGCUGUUUACAGCUUUGUGGAUCCCUGGAGAAAGUGUUCGGAAAAUGUUGCUAACAGAGGAAACGUGCGUCUGGUCUCUGGCCUCAGGUGUGUCGACCCCGAGAGCUUUCGCCUCGAUAGUUCACCGAUCUCACAGAUUCCAGGCGCGUGUCUCUGGAACUGCAACGAUAUGUCAGAAAAAAAAUAAAAAGAGAAGAGGCCUUUGAUGGCGUCCUCGCUGCUCCGAUACUGUAUGAAUACUUUAUCGAUCUGUGAGCUAAAUCCGGCUCGCUGCUAGCUUGCAGAAAAC